CCUACGGGUGGCUGCAGUGAGGAAUAUUGGUCAAUGGGCGCAAGCCUGAACCAGCCAUCCCGCGUGCAGGAAGACGGCGCUAUGCGUUGUAAACUGCUUUUCCAGGGGAAGAAAACCUGAUACGUGUAUCGGCUUGCCGGUACCCUGGGAAUAAGCAUCGGCUAACUCCGUGCCAGCAGCCGCGGUAAUACGGAGGAUGCGGGCGUUAUUCGGAUUUAUUGGGUCGUAAGGGUACGAAGGCGGCUUAAUAGACAACCUGCAGCUUAACUGUAGAAUUGCCAUUGAUACUGUUAGUCUUGAGUACGGUCAAGGUAGGCGGAAUGUGUAAUGUAGCGGUGAAAUGCUUAGAUAUUACACAGAACACCGAUUGCGAAGGCAGCUUACUGGGCCAUUACUGACGCUGAUGCACGAAAGCGUGGGGAGCGAACAGGAUUAGAUACCCCUGUAGUC
rnacentral:rRNA from 1 species